rnacentral:rRNA from 1 species
UACGGGGGGAGCAAGCGUUGUUCGGAUUUACUGGGCGUAAAGGGCGCGUAGGCGGUCGUGACAAGUCACUUGUGAAAUCUCCGGGCUUAACUCGGAACGGUCAAGUGAUACUGUCGGACUAGAGUACAGAAGGGGCAACUGGAAUUCUCGGUGUAGCGGUGAAAUUCGUAGAUAUCGAGAGGAACACCGGUGGCGAAGGCGGCCUUCUGGACAGUGACUGACGCUGAGACGCGAAAGCGUGGGGAGCAAACAGG